rnacentral:pre_miRNA from 1 species
UUUUUAGUAAAAAUAUAUCCCAUGCAAUAUUUGGGACAUACUUAUAUGAAAA